AGAUAUUAAAAAUUUAGACUUAAACAAUGAGUCUAAAAAAAAUAUUAAUUAAAGGUAAGUAAGGAGGUCUGCUACCCUAGCACGUUUGUGUCUGCCGUCUCUGGCACGCUUUUAGGUUUUCAAGUUUUCUUUGAUCUUCUUGUUUUGUCUUCUUUCCUUAAUCCCUGCGCCUCUGUUUCUGGAAAAAUAUGGAGAAUGAUUUAGCCCAAUUAACAAUUAAUGAAGAGGAGGAUGAUGUUAUCCAAAUCCAAGAAAAUCCUGGAACGGAAAGAACAGAAGAGUUUCUUCAACUGGUGAGGUGUUUUCUUACAGCAAGUAUCAUUCAUUUUCCUGCUAUGAAAAGUACUAUGGCGAAUCUGUGGCAUCCUGUUCGUAGAGUUCGUAUUCAAGAUCUGGGGGAAAAAAGGUUUUUGUUCCAAUUUUUUCAUUAUAUGGAUCUUGAAAGGGUAUUGAAGGUCCCUUUAGUAUUAACCCCUUUUUGGGUUCAGAUUCAUGAUGUUCCAAUUGGUUUGUUUUCUGAAAAUCUAGCAGCUAAUCUGAGGAAUUUUCUAGGAAAUUUCUUGGAAUAUGAUGGGACUAAUUUAGGGAAGGAAAACUGGAAUUUUAUGAGGAUCAGUGUCCAAGUUGAUAUCAGACGUCCUUUGAAAAGAAAGAAGCUACUCGAAUACAGGGGGAGAAAGUCAUAUGUCCGGUUUAAAUAUGAAAUACUGACACUUUUUUGUUUCUUUUGUGGAAAAUUGGGUCACAAUGAUUCUUUUUGUGAGGCAAAAAUGUUGAUGGGAGUAGAAAUCGCAGAUAUGGGGUGGGAUUUAUCAAUAAGAGCACAGUCCCGAAGAGCUCUGUCCAUGAAUAGUGUUUGGCUACGAGAAGAGGGGGAGGGGGCUGUAGGUGGAAUUCUGGAAGAAAAUAGGGGUUGUGCAAGGGGACUAAGGAGAAUGGAACGCAGUAAGAGUUAUGGGAAGGCAGUUGAUCCAAUUCUGGGUUUUAAUGUGGAAGGUGACUCUUUGUGCGAAGAAGAUACGCAGGUUAACUCAUUGAUUGACUAUGGCCAGUAUGCGAUGGAACAUGAUUUAGAGGAUAAGGCUUUAGUGGGAGAAGAAGGUAAAAAAAAGAGCCAGAAUGGAGAAUAAUGAUUCACUACAGAAUGAGGGGAUUACCUCCCAGGUAAGAGGUAGGAGAUCGAGGGAUCUUAACCAAUUGAUAUCGGCGACUGCCAAGUGGCAAGCCAACCAGGAAUUAUGAAAAUCCUAAGUUGGAAUGUCCGUGGAUUGGGGAGUUCACGGACAUUUAGAAGACUUCGACACUCGCUAAAGACUUACGACCCCCAGAUUGUCUUCUUUAUGGAGACGAAAAUUGGCAAAAUUCAAAUGGAGAAAGUUAGGCAAAGAUGUGGUUUUGUGAAUGGUAUAGAGGUGGAUCCAGAGGGAACUAGAGGAGGGCUUUGUUUGGCUUGGAGGUAUGAGGUCAAUAUCACUCUGAAAAGCUUCUCCAAAAGACAUUGAUGUGAUAGUGCAUGAUAAUGAAAGGGAGGUUAUAUGGCAAUUUACAGGAUUUUAUAGAACUCCGUAUGCACGAGAUAAAGAAGAUUCAUGGGCUAUUUUGAAAAACCUUUAUAAUGGAGAGAAUAAUCCAUGGUUAGUAUGUGGAGAAUUUAAUGAAAUCGUGUAUGGUUUUAAGAAGAAAGGAGGUACACCCCAAGACGAGAGAAUGAUGGAACAGUUCCGGAAAUCAUUGGAAUUAUGUCAACUGAAUGAUGUAGGAUAUGUGGAUAGAUGGUUUACAAGGGAACGAGGCAAUCUACCAGAGACAAAUAUACGAGAACGCUUGGACAGAGGGGUAGCAAAUAAGGAGAUGAUUUCGUUGUUCUCUGAUAUAAAAGUUCAGCAUUUGGUGCAUUCUUUUUCUGAUCAUUGUCCUCUCCUUAUUGAUACAAAGAAGGAAAUCAGACAGAGGAAUGAAAAAAGUUUCAGAGUCGAAAACUGGUGGUUUUUGGAGGAUUCAUUUGUCGACACAGCUGAACAUUUAUGGAAGAUGUCAACCGGUAACUUCCUACAGAAAUUGGAUUUCAUAAAGAUGGGGUUGGAAGAUUGGGCAGGAAAAAUUUUAAAGAACAAAAAAGGGAAAAAGAAUUAUUAAACAGUAAAAUAAUCUGAAUUGCUUGAAGCUGAAAGGGAUGCUAGCAAUAUGGCAGAGAUAAUUGAUACGAAAAUCCAGCUUAACUUGGAGAUUGAGAAAGAUGAAAGAUAUUGGCAGCAAAGGGCCAACUGAAUUGGCUCAAAUUAGGGAUAAAAACACUGCCUUUUUCCAUAGCCAAGCAACUCAGAGGCAAAAGAAAAACAUGAUCAAGAGUUUGCAGUCCGGACAUGGUAGGGCCACGAAAAAUCUACAUGAAAUGGAAGGAAUUGCUAGGUCUUACUUUCAGAAUCUAUUUUCAUCAGAGAACCAAGGAAAUUGUGAUUACCUACUUUCGGGUAUUAAUCGUUGCAUUAGUGACGAGGAUAAUAAAAGGCUCACCGCACAUUAUACAAGGGAGGAAAUUCGUGAGGCUCUUUUUGAAAUAGGACCUACUAAGGCGCCAGGUGAAGAUGGACUACCAGCCAUCUUUCUUUAGAAGUGCUGGCAUUUUAUUGGCGAGGAUACAGUUUCAUUUUGUCUUCUACUCUUAAACGGUGAUAUGGAGGUCAGUGUUAUUAAUUCAACUCAUAUUGUACUCAUUCCAAAAAUUAAUAAUCCCACAAAUAUGUCACAGUUUAGGCCUAUCAGUUUAUGCAAUGUUGUUUACAAAGUUAUUGCAAAAACUAUAGCGAACAGAUUUAGAGGGGUGAUUGAUAAAUGCAUUGAUAAGGCUCAAAGCGCUUUUGUCCCAGGAAGAUUAAUCCCUGAUAAUGUUUUGCUUGCUUAUGAGAUACUGCAUUCUUUAAAGCAAAGAAGAGUGGGGAAAAAGGGUUACAUGGCAGUAAAACUAGAUAUGAGCAAGGCCUAUGAUAGGGUGGAAUGGAUUUUUAUCAAAAAGUUAAUGUCUCGAAUAGGAUUCGCUCAAAGUUGGAUUGACAAUAUUAUGAAAUGUUUGACUACUGUCUCAUAUAAGGUUGUGAUCAAUGGCAACGUUGGAAUGAAAUUCUAUCCAGAAAGAGGACUACGACAAGGGGACCCUUUGAGCCCAUUUAUUUUCCUUAUAUGUGGAGGACUUUCCAGUCUCAUGAGAACAGCAGUAGAGGAAGGAUUUUUAAAGGGUGUCAAAGUAAGUAGACGAGGUCCACAUAUAUUGCACUUAUUAUUUGCAGACGAUUGUAUCCUUUUUGGUGAGGCAACAUGUAGAGGGGCUACUUCAUUCAAGGCAAUAUUAAGUGAAUAUAGAAGGUGCUCGGGGCAAUGUGUGAACUUUGAGAAAUCACCCAUCUUUUUCAGCAAAAAUACUAUUGAGGAGGAAAGAAGACGGAUUGUUAAUUUGCUUAGAGUCCGAAGCUCAAAUGAGUCUGAACGUUACCUUGGUCUGCCAACCAUGGUGGGACGACAGAAGAAAGUUUCCUUUCAAGUAUUGAAGGACAAAGUAAAACAGCGAACUGACAAUUGGAGUAUGAGAUUUUUAUCGCAGGGUGGAAAAGAAGUGUUUAUCAAAGCUGUUUUGCAAGCUAUUCCACCUUACUCAAUGGCCUGUUUCUUACUUUCAAAAUCCUUAUGUGACGAAAUGGAAGCAAUCAUUGAGAGAUUUUGGUGGAAAAAAGGUCAGGGAAAAGGGGGAAUUCAUUGGAGCUCGUGGAAAAAUUUAUGCAGUUUAAAAGAGAAUGGAGGUUUAGGCUUUCGUAAUCUCAGUCAAUUCAAUAUUGCAUUGCUUGCUAAACAGGGGUGGCGUCUUUUCAAUUAUCCGAAUUCGCUUUUAGCCAAGGUUCUUAAAGCAAAGUAUUAUCCAAAUUCAAAUUUUCUAAGUGCAGAGUUGGGGAAUUUACCUUCCCUUACCUGGAAGAGUAUAUGGGCUGCAAAGGGACUUCUCACUCAAGGCCUGUGUUGGAGAGUUGGGAAAGGAAACAACAUUUCUAUUUGGAAUGAUCAGUGGAUCCCGGGGAUCGAACCUAGUAUAUGGCAGUAUAGUCAUCAAAAUGGAGAGCUGGAAAAUGUAUCAGAUCUUAUUGAUGGAAUACAUAAGAUGUGGAAAGUGGAGGUUGUUACUCAUACCUUUCAACUGGACAUUGCACAAAGAAUAUUACAGAUCCCACUUGCAACUAUAGAUAGUGAAGAUUUGCUCGUUUGGAAAGGUGAACCGUCUGGAGAAUUCUCAGUAAGGAGUGCUUACAAACUAUUACAAGAUGCUAAUCUGGAUCCUAAUAAUUUAGUACAGACCAGGGAUUUAAAUUGCGGUCGCGGUCGCGUUUUCGGUCGCAUUGCGUUUAUCGCGGUUGCGGACAUAACGGAUGCUAUUGCGGUCAUUGCAGGUAUCGCGGUCGUGAAUUUUACAUUACUUAUUGUGUAUUGCGGGUAUAGCGGGUUUCGGUAGUAGCGGUUUCGGACGGUGCCGUUACCGCUAUAUAACGGCCGCUAUUUCGGUAACGGACCGCUAUUUAAAUCCCUGGUACAGACCGAUUUCAAAGAUUUCUACAGAAAAUUAUGGCAAUUACAACUUCCAUAAAAAAUUCUACUCUUGAUCUGGAGGAUUUCCUGGAACUACAUUCCUACACUAGUCAAUCUACGUUGCAAACGUUUAACCACAAACGUGAGAUGUUCUCGAUGUGGUUCCGGGGAAGAAAACACUCUCCACGUAUUUUUGCAGUGUCCUAAAAGCAAUGAAGUUUGGCAAAACAUUAGUAUGACUUGGGUAACACAAUACAGAUAUCAGAAUACUAGAACAUGGCUUACUUGGGUCUUCGAAAAAGGAACCAAUGAGUAGUGUAAGGUGUUUUGUUGCGCCUUAUGGGUAAUAUGGAACUCACGAAAUCAAAUGGUGCAUGAGAGGAAGAUUGUAUCAGGAAGGGACCUUGCUCACAGAAUAAAGGUUUAUUUAGCUGAGAUUGAAACAGUGGGAAUGGAAAAACGUACCUUGAAGACUGAUGAAGUUCAGAGACAUUGGGAAGCGAGAACACAUGACACGAUUCACUUUGAUGCAGCCUUUGAUUCUAACAGGUAUAGAUCGGCGUCGGGAGUUAUUGUUCGAGACUGGAGGGGAGAGUUAAAAGCCUUGAAAACAACCCUCCACUCCAAUAUUUCAUCUCCGUUUCUCGCAGAAGCAUAUGCAUGCCUACAAGCAGUAAAGUUAGGCUUAGCAAUGGGUCUCCGAUCAGUUACAAUCAAGGGAGAUUCGAAAACGGUCAUAAAGAAAUGUCAAGCAACAGGUAUGGAUAAGUCGAUUAUCGGAGCAGUCAUCAGAGAUAUUCAGAAGCAAAGUUCUCGAUUUCAAGAAAUAAUUUUUCAGUUUAUUCAAAAACCAGAAAACUAUCAAGCCCAUAAACUAGCAAAAGAAACAUUAGCAAAGGGGGAAGAGAGGAACCUAGUCGGAAUCGAGAGGAUCUGCAAUGAAGAACUUCUGCAGGAGGAAUGGGAAAGGAACCCGGACUGAAGGGUUUUCAAAAGAAAAGGGUUUUGGAAAUGAUAACAGAUGGUAGAAAAUCUUUUGGGAAAUUGUUAUCUUCAGAACAGAUGUGACGAUUCAGUAUGGAGAAGUGGGAAUUAAUUGCGUCCAGCUGUUAGAAUUGACUGGGUUUUAAUGUUUAUUCUUUUAUUUAUUACUUUUGCUUUUUCAUUUUCUGUUUUGCUUUUAGGAUUUGUCUUUUUUGGGCAUACUUUGCAGCCCAAUUCUGCUUUUGUUUUAGUUGUAAUCCGUAGGAACUUAACCCAAACUUUUUUGGUAUUUCUUUGGUUUGAUUUAUAAUAGCCCAGUUUGAUUAUUC
rnacentral:lncRNA from 1 species